GGAGUAAACUAGGGCAAAACCUCUUCUUGGUGAAGAGCUGAAUGGUGUGGUUAUUUACAGAGACGGCGGUGACUCACCUCGCCUGGCCCUGAACUCUGGCCCAGAACAGCAUUUGUGUUCAACAGGACUCUUGUUAGAGGAACAAAUGUAAUAUUUCAUUUUCCUGACUUUUUUAUUAUGACCUAAAUGUAAGCGAUACAGAUACAGAUUGAAAAUAUUACACACAGAGGACUCCAUUCAAUAGACUGAUUAAAAAAUGAGCUAACUUUAUUUUUAGUUUUAAAAACAAAACUUGUCACGAGUAAUCACGAAGGUUCCCCCCAAAAUUACAUUCUGCUUUUGUCAUCUUGAUAGGACAAGGAAUGUUUAGUGGUUCUCAAAACACAGGAGAGUUAAAGUUGACAGUUAACAAAUUACUACACGCUAUGGACCGUCACUUCAAGCACACUAGAGUAUGGGACACGUACAUGUAAAUUACUGACCAGUUUUCUGAAGUCUGUGAGUAUGGACUACAGCUUACAGUACCAGAAAGGUAACGUGCCCCCAAAUAUAACACCAGAUCAUAAACAUGUUCAGAUGAAAUAAUAGAUUCAAUGCCGGUUUAAUUCAGAUGAAAGUGAAAUGACUGAGAGAGUUUCCUUACACUCAAAGGACACGCACGAUGGAGAAGAGAUGUCAGUCUUACUCAGAGGUGAGAAGCAAGGGGAGAAUAUGGCACAAUAAGAGGACUGGCUACCUCGACCUCUCCUGUCCCCAGUGUGAGUUAGGAAGACUGAGGACUACACAGGAAACAAUAUAGAAAUCACAUAUUAUCUGAAUAGAUGGAUAUAAAUCUUCCAUACAACAAGAAUGAACAUUCAAGAGAUGCAGAUGAAAACAACACUGAGAUUCCACCUCACCCCAGAAAGAAUGGCUGCUAUCAAGAAAUCAACCAAUAGCAAAUGCUGGAGUAGGGAAAAAGGAACCCUUCUCCACUGUGGGCGGGAGUGUAGACCGGUGCAACCACUGUGGAAAUCAGUGUGGAGAUUUCUCAAAAAACCAAAACUAGAAGUUCCAUUUGACCCAGCUAUUCCUCUUCUUCGUUUCUCCCAAAAGAAUACCACAGAUCACAAUCUACAUACCACAGUGAUAUAUGCAUACCCAUAUUUAUAA
rnacentral:lncRNA from 1 species